rfam:Atopobium minutum 10063974 genomic scaffold acnkJ-supercont1.1, whole genome shotgun sequence.
GCGCAACUCACGCUGUCUACGCCGGUUGCGUCGUCUGAAGGUAUAGGUCACCCGGACCGACACGGGGUGAUCCAGACGAAAGGA